AUUGAACGCUGGCGGCAGGCCUAACACAUGCAAGUCGAGCGGAUGAAGGGAGCUUGCUCCUGGAUUCAGCGGCGGACGGGUGAGUAAUGCCUAGGAAUCUUCCUGGUAGUGGGGGAUAACGUCCGCAAACGGGCGCUAAUACCGCAUACGUCCUGAUGGAGAAAGUGGGCGAUCUUCGGACCUCACGCUAUCAGAUGAGCCUAGGUCGGAUUAGCUAGCUGGGGGGUUAAAGGCCUACCAAGGCGACGAUCCGUAACUGGUCUGAGAGGAUGAUCAGUCACACUGGAACUGGGAAAAGGUCCAGACUACUACGGGAGGGAGCAGUGGGAAAUAUUGGACGGUGGGCGAAAGGCUGAUCCAGCCAUGCCGCGUGUGUGAAGAAGGUCUUCGGAUUGUAAAGCACAUUAAGUUGGGAGGAAGGGAAGUAAGUUAAUACCUUGCUGUUUUGACGUUACCAACAGAAUAAGCACCGGCUAACUACGUG
rnacentral:rRNA from 1 species